UGACUGGCAAGAGCAAACGUGUCAUGAUCCAGGAAUCCAACAAUUUUCAAGACAGCCUCUGGGGGCAGCUGGGGCAGUGGAGUCUUGGUGCACUUUGGAACCUGCGAAGACAUUGACUCUUGCUAUGAGGGUGCAAUCUUCCUCACAUCUGUCCAUCAAGGUAUGAACUCAAAUCACAUAGGUACAGCACCUUCACAUCCAAAUAGAGUACAGCGUUCACCAAGUCCUUAAAGAAGUGCUUCAUACCGUACAGGCUCCCUGCCUGUACACGCAUGUCCUCUUCGAUUAUACUUCUGAGGUCUUUCAACGUAAGUUGGUCUGCAUUAUCGAUGAUGUAACGACUUCGCUUUGCGACUGCCUGUUCUUAGCGGUUCCUGAGGUCCUCGGUAUCAUCCAUGGAAGAUGACAUUCGAAUACACGAUCUUCGUGAGGUCACUGCCAAAGCACACAAGUGAUCGCCAACUCCUUAGAAUCAGACAAUUUCUUUUUAGAGGUUUCAAUUCCAAUCAUUGCAUAUUCUUU
rnacentral:lncRNA from 1 species